rnacentral:lncRNA from 1 species
UCAGUUUCUAGAAAAUAAACAACAUUUUUUUCUUUUUUUAUUCCAACAGUUAUUUAGGGCAAUUAAAAUAUCUGGUUUCCAAACACUAUCAGUCAGUGGAAAAGAAUUUGAAGAUGUGGAUGAAAUGAAUUCAGAUACAUUACAGAUGAAAAUAUGAAUGCCCUUUAAAGAGCUUCAAAUAUUCAUACUGAAAUGGCAAGAGGAGAGAUCUGUUUCUACGGGAAACACUAAUCACAAACCAAGACAAAGCUUUGAACUUCAUGGAGUCUGUAAGACAUUUUGGCCACUCACUAAAAAUCUGCCUGUUUUCCCAAAGUCAAAAUCCCCCUCUUCCCCUGAAGAGGUAACAACUUUAAGGUGCAUUCCAAGACACUCGGCUGUGAUUCUGAUAUCGAAUAUCAGCAAAGGAAGACCCUUCUCCCCCAGCCCAGCCCAGAGAGCAAUGUAAGCAGCCUACUUCAUUCGGAGACUCAUCAAGGACUUCACCGCUUAGUUUACUCUUAGGUCUCAGAAUCGGAGAUGUUGAUGAUUUGUUAAUGCUGCACAUUGAUUCCUAUGUCACAGGUCAAGGUUCAUAGCCCAAAGUAACAAGGAGUCCUCAUGUUGCUUGUGACCUCUCCCAGAUAGACAGAACUUUGUGUUUGUCUCCUUCAUACUACCCUGUCCUCACAGAGUGUGACUCCUUAUCCUACCCCUAAAACUCAGGACAUGGCGCCUGGCUUCCUUAACAAUUUCCAAUGAGUAAGCGUUCUGUGUAUUUAUCAGCUAUUCUGUAGUUUAUAGCUGAAAUUUUCUACACUAUUUCAGUUGUUCCCCAGAGAAAAUCACUACUUUUAAAACGUGUUUAGAAAACUUUAGCACAAUACUUUAUAAAAUACCUGUCUAGUUCCCUAGUCUUGACGCAUGAAAAAGAUGUUCAAGAACUGAGAGCAGUGAGGGUCUUAGGCACCCAAUACCCUGGGUUGCUGGAGCAGUUCGGAGCAUGUGAGAGGUAGGCAUGUAGAUAUGGGCUGUCCAUUUUUUAUCAGUCCGUUAUUAUGACAUUAAUUUUGGCAAUUUUCACCACUCAUGAGAUUUUAAAAUUUUCUCUGCUUCCUUUGAAUUUCUCUUUUGUACUGUUGAAGCUGUACUGUACUUCAUGCAAUGUUGUUUUGGGGACGGUGCUGGAGGGGAGGGUGACCAAUAAAAGCUGCGCACAAAAUUCAUGAGCUCCCCCUGCUGUUGUACAGCGGACAAUACAAGCUCCUGCAAUUUUCAUUUCCAGAAGCACCCAAGUAAAGCAAUUGAUUCCUUUGUGGGUUUGCUUGACCUAACAUUUUUAAAAAAUGCUAGCUUAUUUAUUUAUUUAUUUAACUGUGCAGAAGAUUGAAUAUAGGACUUUCAACACAUUAGGUAAGUAUUCUACUGCUGUUAUAGCCCAGCCCUGCUGGAUCUCAGAGGCAGAUUAAUACUAAUUUCCUUCUGAAAGUUUACAAAGUCACAAUUUUAUUUGGGCCAUCACUUAAGCUAAGGCAAGGGGAUUGCUGCUGUGAUUUAAGAAGCAGGUCUGUACCAUUAUUUAUUUAUUUAUUUAUCUAUUGUCUUUUGAGACAGGGUUU